AUCUAUACACUAAUUAACUACCUGUAACUUAUAACCCAAUUACAUAUCCGUUAUACACUGUUUAUAAAGAGUACCUUAAUAUAAAAUCGUACUCAUUUUAAACUGGCCAAUAUAGGCAUACUGUGAUAUCAUUUAGACCAGUAGUAGAGAGUGCACUGUAUCCUAUCAUAUGACAGCAAAAAAAAACGAUCAGCACAUCAUCCCUUGAAGAGGUAGGCUAGAUAACCAGUUCUACAGAGUAAAUCAUUGUGUUUUGUGAAUCCAUUUGUGUUAUAUAACAAUGGAAAGACUUGUGGAGGAAACUUUCUAGCCUACUAUGAGAUAAAAUAUGUAGGGCAGGCCACAUGUCAUAUGAGGAAUGUUGGUGAUGCUGAUCCUAUUGUUUCUUGUUACCGACCUGAGGUCACAUGACUAGAACGUUGCAUAGGUUGUGUGAGUACAACUAUCACACUCUUGUAUAAGAUAGGAUCACUUUUGACAGGAUUAUAGACAAUUUGCUACACAGUAUGAGGAACUUGUUGCACGUUGUGUUUGUUUGAGUUGCUUGCUGUACAGCCUGACGAUGUGGAUCACUAUACCUAUUGUGAGAGUUGCUUGACUACAGCCCAAGAAAUUGAGAGCAGAAGAAAGACACAGCAGAGUCCAGACGGGAUGUUAUUGAGAAGCUAGUCAGUGGUGCUGUGUACCAAGAUUUAGAUGCUAAAAUCCCCACUGAACACAUUUUAACGUAAUUAUGUUCAACUGUACCAACUCUGUUGAUUUAAUCUCCAAAAUUCUCUUAGAAUAAAGAUAUUUCUCAA